rnacentral:lncRNA from 1 species
UUGUUUUCCUAAACCCAGCCUGCAGCCCGAGAGCUGGGAAGUAUGCAGGACUUCCGUUUGCAGAGCACAACCUUGCAGCAGCAUGACAAAUGCUGAGGAUGCCUGCGUGUGAAGCUGCAUGUUUUAUGCAUGUCACCAGGCCAGAUCAAGUCUUGGCAUGUCGUUACCAAUGAGUUGUGAAGCUGAAGGAGUCUUUUCUAAACUAUUGAUUCUAAAGAACAAGUUUUGAUCAACUCUGCUAGAGGAAUGUCUGAACUAGUUUUCUAUUCUCUCUGUAGAAACAGACAUUACAAAAAUCAUUGUCAUGGGGAGGCUAAGCAAGGACAAUGUAAUCCAACAGUGUAGAAAAAAGUAUUAGGAAAUUAACUGUUCAGAAUAUUAUGCCAUGUUGAUUUUAAUUUUAU